GGGAUAGGCUACACGAGUUCAGGACUGGCUCGCUGGUUAUUGCAAUGCGUACAGAAGUUGCAUCUUAAUCCUCUACCAUAAACAUGGCCCUUUGGUGAGUCAGAGAACAGCUUCCUGGAAGGGUAAGACAGUGGUAGUUUCUGACACACCUGUCAUUUUGAUCCUCCUGGAACGAUUUGCUGUCAUUCCAGAAGGUAUGCAUCCCCAUCACAGAAGAAAGAAAAAAACAUUUCUGAUGCCCCCUCUUCUGGCUGGAUAGAAGCCCAAGACUCUGACCCAGGUCAGGGCCUGGGAACUGAGACUGGAGUACUGCAGUUAGUGGGGCUGGAGGGAACACCAAAGGAGGCCUGAAGUCUGAGUCCCAGGAAAAGACUCAAUACAAAGAGGUAUCUGCAAUCCUUGACUUCAGCUGAUGCCUGCACACUGCGAAAGAAGCCCAUGUUCUUGGUAGUAGGAGGUACCAUGUAUGGUAAUUCAGAGUGUAAGAGGAAGAAAGGUCCCCUGGACUUGGUAUGAGAGUAGAAGUCUGCUUGCUGGACAUCCUUUGAAGAUAGAGAGAUGGAGAGUGAGCUACUUAGGUUGGACUCAUGUGGAUAAGAGAGGAGACAAGCACUAUGGGCUAGGCUAGAAGAACGUACGCUGAGUCCUUUCCAGGAAUCUGCUAGAGCAAAGCGAGGUGGAAUUGCAAAGGAUUUCAGAGGUUCUUGGAAGCCCAGAAAAAAGGAGCUGAACAUGCCUUUGCCAGAAAGCCACAAGUGGGAAACCUCAAAGAAUGGAAGAGGACUUGCUAGGUGCCAUACUUUAUGCGCACUAUCUAAUUCCAGGUUCCAGGAUUACAUGUGCAGAACGUGCAGGUUUGUGACACAGGUAAACGUGUGCCAUGAUGGUUUCCUGCACCCGUCAACCCACCACCUAGGUAUUAAGCCCCACAUGCAUUAGCUAUUAGUUCUAAUGCUCUCCCUCCCCCCACCCCCCCCAACAGGCCCGGAUGUGUAAUGUUCCCCUCCCUGUGUCCGUGUGUUCUCAUUGUUCAGCUCCCAUUUAUGAGUGAGAACAUGUGGUGUUUGGUUUUCUGUUCCUGUGUUAGUUUGAUGAGGAUGAUGGCUUCCAGAUGUAGCUUAAUUUCAAACCCUAAACCCAUAAUCUGACUGAUAAAAGAAAACAAGUUACCUAGUCACUUCUAGGCAAGCUCAGCCCAAUUCAGUGAUCUCUCAGUCACUUCACUCCAGAUUUAAAAUUUAGCCUCAUUAUGGAGUUCCCUUCCUUUUUGUCUCCCUUCUCUCCCCUGGGGUCCAGUCUGGAGAGAGCGGUCUUGGGUGAGGGGGUGGUCAAUGUUACUGCUGAGGCAGUGAAAAGGGGUGGCCCAUUAUUAUUUUGGUCUUGCUUUGUCACGAUGCUGUGCUGGCCUUGGGCUCCAGAAGGAAAUAGUUUUGUCUACUGAGAUGUGACUUCCCCUGCUUGGUCAGUGGGCUUUGUCCCUGCUCAUCCUGAGGGUUCUGUGGUCCACACUGUGCCCUCCUAGUCCAUACACUGAGCUCCCUGGGGUGGGUCUUCCAGGCCCUCAGCCUCUCCUUGCCCACCUUGUGGGUGCAGGGUGAGUUUGGCUGAUCACAGACUCCUGAGGCCUUUGGGAGAUCCUGUGCAGCAGAGUCACAUUUUCCCCCAACACUCUUGUAACCUCCUGUGUGCCAGUGUUCCCAUAUAAUUGGGGGUACAAUGGAUAUCAGCAAGACUGUGGACCACCAAAGUUCUCUACAGGAUGGGCGAAGGUGAGGGCCCCUCAAUCUGGAGUUUUCAAGCCCACCUGGAUAUCUCUAUCAUUGUUAAUCCCCUCUCCCCUACUGUAGCCUGGACUCUGCCCCAUGGUGGUGGGUGGGAGGGCACCAAGACACAUCAGUAACUAAGCUCUCCUUUUUACUCUUCAGCAGUCUUUCUCCUCCCCAGUUCUGGGGUUAAUGUCUAGCAGGAGGAUGCGAGGGGAGACAAGAUAUGCAGGUGCAGAGAUGAGACAAGCCUGGUUCUGUCAGAUUAUAGCUCCUUUCAAAGGAUUCCCGAUUUAUACCUCUCUCCAUUUGAACUCAAUAGUCAAAAUAUUUGUAGGGUUUGUUUCUUCCUUCCCAAAGCAAGAAAUAAGUUGUGUCCAGUUGUCCAGGCUGGAGUAGAAGUCAAGGCAGGUUCACAGAACACUAGUGCAGAAAUUUGACGAGCAAAGGCUUGCAGGGAGGAAGGGGAGAACACUCAUUAAAUCAUUUCUUCUCAUGCUGCCUUGGUGGGCGUGGAGGACAGGUUGCAGAUUUCCUUCCCUGCUUUGCUAUUUCAUGAUGGUGGGUAAUUUACUAGAUCAUGUCCUGCUGCAUGUUUUCAAUAGUCUCCAAAACUGUCUUAGCUGACCCAUGUCAGACACACACACAUACACAUACACACACACACACCCCACAUACCUGGAGCCCACUGAUCCUACUGAUCCAGUUUACAGAAAGGGGAAAAUGAGAAGUAGAGCCCUGGGAAGAGGCAGGGAGUCAAAAAUCCUACGUCCUAUUCUGGGCUCAGCCACACGCCGGUGGUGUGAUUGGACUCACUUGCUUCCCCUCUCGCACUGUGGUUUCCCCAUCUGGAACCCAGUGGCCCUAAAAUAGUACUAUUUCUCAGCCCUGGGGGAGGAGGGACAGGCCAAGAGAGUCCAUUGCCCAAAUCAAUAAUAAUGAUGAUAACAGCAGUGAUUAUACUUUCCAAACUUACAACACUUCAUCUGCUCAACCCUCCCUGCUUCUUUUAAAGUAAUCAUACAAGAAAAUAUACCAGCAGAAGAACAGCUUCUCACUGGACUUUCCUGACUCUGGGACUCAGCAUAAGUCACUGUGGAACACCUUUGUUUUGUUCCUGAUUCUGCCUCUAAUUGCCGAGUGACCUUUGCCAGAUCACUUCAUCCUGUAGGUCUGCAGGAUUGUUUGUUCCAUCAGAGGACAGUGCCAAAUUGUUCCCAAGGCUCUUUCAGUUCUAGGAUUCUGUGUUUUGGUUGAGCACCGUAUUAGUUUCUGACAGCUGCUAUAACAAAUUAACACAACUUUAGUGGCUUAAGAAAACAGAAAUGUAUGCUCUUUCUGUUCUGGAGACCAGAAGCCUGAAAUCAAGGUGCCAGCAGGGCCACCCUCCAGGCUCUAGACGAUAAUCCGUUGCUUGCCUCUUCUAGCUUCUGGUUGCUGCUGACAUUCUUUGGUGUUCUUUGGCACGUAGCUGUGUCACUCCAACCUCUGCCUUCAUAGUCACAUUGGCUUCUGUGUAUGUCUCAAAUAACUCUCUGUUUCUCUGUUAUAUGGAUGGUAUUUAGGGCCCACCCAGCUAAUCCAAGAUGAUGUCCUCAUCUCAAGAUCCUGAACUUCAUCACAUCUACAAAGACUCUUUUCCAAAUAAGGUCACACUUCUGGGCUCCAGAGAUUGAGACAUAGACAAACCUUGGGGAAGAGGGAUGGUGGUUAUUUCUCGGCCUACCAACCAUGACAAGCUCAAGGUCCAGGGAGAUUUGAGACAUGCAGGAGAGUGCACCCCUGUUCCACAAGGGCAAGUAGUCCAAUUGAGAAGUCAUCACUCACAUGCAAUACUGUCAAGGAACAACACAAGCCAGGAGGUAGCAAGCAUAGAGAGCCUGUGUAGCCUUGGGAAAAGAGCAGGGGCUCUGGACCUCGACGCCCUGGGUUCACAUCCAAGCCUUACCACCUGCCAGCCAGGGAACCUUGAACAAAUUAUUUAAUGUCUCUGGGGAAAAUUAUACUUACUGUAUAGGUAUGUUAUAAAGAUUAAGUAUAGGCCAGGUUCAGUGGUUCACACCUCUAGUCCCAGCACUUUGGGAGGCCAAGGUGGGAGGAUCACUUGGGGUCAGGAGUUGGAGACUAGCCUGGGCCACAUAGCAAGACCCAGUCUCUACAAAAACAAAAAAAUUAGCCAGGGUGGUGGCACACCCCUGUAGUCCCAGCUACUUGGGAGGCUGAGGUGGGAGGAUUGCUUGAAUCCAGGAGUUGCAGUCUGAAAUGAGCUAUGAUUGCACCAUUGCACUCUGGCCUGGGUGACAGAACAAGACCCUAUCUCCCCAAAAUAAAAAUCUAAAAAAAGAUUAGCUAUAAUAUGUUCAGUGACUAGCAUCUAAUAGGCGCUUAUGAUUCAGCAGCAAAUAAACGGGACAGCAAAAGGCAAGUGUGUGUGUGUACAUGCAUACGUGUCUGGCACUGUCUGCUAAGACAGUUUUGGAGACUACUAGGAGCAUGUACCAGAACAUGAUGGCGUAACUAGAGUGAUUCUCCACUGAAUGAUGAAGGACCAAGAACAGAAAAGUGAAAUGACUUGCUCCAGUUUGCACAGGAGGUCAUCACACAGAUGGGUCUAGAACCAAGGUUUUCUAGAAAGCAUUUUCCUCCACUUCCCAAAACUUUUGCUGUCAGGAUGAAUUUUUUGGAUGAUAUUUCUACAGACAGCAAGGGACGUCCGUUUACACCCUUGGUUUAGCCAGAGAAUAUUGCAGAUGACCAAGCCCACAGGCUCACACAAAUCCAACCCUUCAGGCUGUCUUUAGCUUGAUGCUCCACAACCAUGGGUUGACACAAUCACCAACAGAGAAAGGGAAGCUAGAUAGCCCUUCUUCACUCUCCACUGCUCAGCGGGCAUCCCUCCACAUGGAUGGUUCCUUUGAGUGUGGCUUUUGCCAUAAAAAUGAGAUAAGAGGGACAGAGGAAAUGCUCUUUACUGCCAACUCUCUGCUCCUAUGUACAGAUCUUCACCUGAGUCAAUGUUUAACCCCUGACUGGAGUCAAUGUUUAAUCCCAGGCCAGCCAGCCCUGCAAUCCAGCAUUCCUCAUCUAGCCUAAAAUACAGAGUCAUUUUAGAAUCAACCACUGAAGAAUAAAAUUGUGACUGAAUUUGCCAAAGCUAAAUAAACUCUCCCCCCCUUUUUAGAGGAUACUGGCUGUUUGGAAUUAUUCAUGCUACCUGUUCCCAUUAGCAGAUAGUGGUAUGGCGUUUGCUGACCCUAGCUGUCACUCAGUGGUAGGAGCACAGCGUUUAUUCUUCCUGUUUCAGUUCUUCCUUUUGGGCUGGGGGAGAAGAGCAUUGGGUGGGGACCACUGCCCUUGUUACCCAGCUGGCAAUGCUGCUGGCUGGCAACAUGCUUCCUUGUGAAGCCACUACUUGGAAUCCCACUAGGGGAGCUGGAACUUGAAUGUUCCGGUUGGCUGCAUUUAGGCAUGUUUUCUGGGAGUUUCUGAGCCCAGAUUUAUGUUCAAAGGCCUAAACCUUUUCCCAGGUGAGUCUCCCUAUUAAGGGGCAGGUGGGAGAGGGAAGAGUUCAUUAGAAAGACCCUGACUAUUGGUGAUUCUCUAGGGGCUUCCUAGAGUCCUUCCUAAAGAGCUCAGGGCAUAUGGCAUGUACAAAUGGGCAGCAUUGUGUCAACUCUAAGAACAACAUUAAUCAGGGAAGUCAAAGGAUGGCAAGCUGGGUGGUAGCGUGCAGGGACGUGAAGAGGGAAGGAAGGCCGCUGUCAGAUUAGCAGCUCUAGUCUUCAGUUGGUGUUGGAGAGGUGACUCACUGGCCAAACGUGUGCAUGCAAUGCUCAAAUCUUUUCACUUUCCUCUAUGAACACACUGAGGCCCUGCCUUCUCCUUGACCACCUGCCUCCCUGUGUCACUGCCCUGAUGUCCCAUUCUUCACUGUUUUCCUAGCUCAGCUGCCUCUCAGUCAGAAAGUGAAAACAACAUUUCUUCUGGGGCUCCCAGAGUGGGGAGGUUGUUGCUACCCUUUCUCAUUUUGGCUGGUGAAAGAGUGAAGGUAGAAACUGUGGUAAGAGCCCCCUGAGAUUGCCUGUGUCCAGCCCUGAGGAGCCUGCCGUGGGGAGCGGGGAGUGAAGUGGAACAUAAAAGGCCCUGGAGGCUGGGUGUGGUGGCCCACACCUGUAAUCCCAGCACUUCAGGAGGCCAAGUGAGGCGAUCACUUGAGGCCAGGAGUUCGAGACCAGCCUGGCCAACAUUGUGAAAAAUACUCUACUAAAAAUACAAAAGUUAACCGCGCAUGCUGGCGUGCUCCUGUAAUCCCAGCUACUCAGGUGGCUGAGGUAGGAGGACUGCUUGAACCCUGGAGGUGGAGGUUACAGUGAGCCAAGAUUGUGCCACUGCACUCCAGCCUGGACGAGGGAGCGAGAGUCUGUCUCAAAAAUAAAUAAAUAAAAAAAAUAUUUAAAAAAAAAAAAAGAAAGAAAAAGGCCCUGGAAAUGGAAAGUCAGCCAUGGUCCAAAAGCUCUCUCAAUUCUUCUUUGGGUCUAGUCUCUACACUCCAAAGAGCUUUGAUUCUCUGUUUCUGAGAGGCAGGGACAUAUGAGCAAACCUUUUUUGAGGUUACCCAACCAUUGUCCUAUGUGCUGUUACCUCCACACCCUGGCUAGGGAGAAGCGGAAGGAGGAAGAUUUUUGGAGUAGACAUCCAAAGUCAAUAGGUGGAGUGUCAGGUGACUGGGCCCAGCCCCUCUCAUAAGCCACUGGGGUCCUGCUGAAGACUUGCUGUUUCCUUGUUCCUGGUCUGAGCCUGGCUCUCGGCCCAAGGCUUGCCUGACAGGCAGCGAUUGGAAAAAUAGCCCCUGUAAUCCCCUGCAGCCUGUGUUCAUCUGAGCCUCAAUGUUCCCAUCUCUAGAAUGGGAGUAUGUUUCUUUUUGGUGAUGUAUAUUGUAAUUAAUUUGUAGUUGUCUGUACUCCACUGGCAGAGGUAGGGAAGGAAAGUGCUGGCCCCAUAAAAUGUUUAGAUUAGUUGCAUUUGCUAAUCAGUCUGAUCUUCCCAUGCCAGGCCCUAAAGAAGCCACAGUCUGAAUUCUUUUUCUUGAACUCUUGUCUGAAAUGAAACACAGUAUCUUCAGACAAAUUAGAGCAUUCUGAAAACACCUUUGGACACAGUAGUCCUAGCUUUCUUCCUCUUCUCUAAAGUACUCAAGGUUAGGAAGCCAGAAGUUUGCCACUCAGGGAAAGAAGUAGCCUUUGUUUGACCCUCUAUGCUCACAGCAGAACUGGUAGAUCUGGAUAGAGGUAGCAAGUAAGUGAGCAGUGGGAACAAGGCCAGAGGUGGCAGAGGCAGAACAUAGAAGAGUUCAGAUCCUACUCAGUAAAUGUGUGUCUUUUUGUUGUUGUUGUUUGUAGAGAUGAGGUCUCACUAUGUUGCCCAGGCUGGUCUCAAGCGCCUGGCAUCAAGUGAUCCUCCUGCCUCACGCUCCCACAGUGCUGGGUUUACAGGCAUGAGCCACGGUGCCUGGCUUCAAUCAAUGUCUUUGAUGCAAUGCAUCCAGGAGGCAAACAGUGGUCUGCAGGCCAGGGGCAUUGGCACUGGUGAUCACCACAUGCCUGUAGAGGUGCAGCAUGGGGUUCUCUCCUAAGGCUGCCGCUUCUCUGCUGCCCACAUGGGUUUCAGCUGGCCCCUUAGAGAGUAGGCAGUAGGAUGACAGCUCAUCAUACUGCUGACAGUGAAGGGAGCAGGCUGGCCCGGGAAGGCCAGCACCUGUAAACCAAGCUGUGUCACUGUAUGAAAAAUGAAGAGCUUGGUGGUGCUGGACCCUGAAUGCAGGGUUUGUUUCUUUCUGAGUAGAAUCUCCAUUCUCCAUUCCACAUUAGUCAUGCUUUCAGCUCUGGGAUAUCUGUACCAGGUGAGCACAAUCAAAUAACCUGUGUCUACUUGGCUGCAGUGCGUUAUGGGUCUCUCUGUGGAGGUAUCUUCCCCUAGGGCCUGACUGAGGCUGUUAUUAAACUGAUUUUUUAUGUCUCAGACCACAGUGGGCUAUUGGAGGAGAGGAAGAAACCUCCAACGUAUUA
rnacentral:lncRNA from 1 species